AGCAGGCUCCAUGCAGGGAGCCCGAUGUGUGACUCCAUCCCAGGUCUCCAGGAUCAUGCCCUGGGUCCAAGGCGGUGCUAAACCACUGAGCCACCGGGCUGCCCCCAAAGUCUUAAUUUUAAUUUAUUACCCACUUGGGCAGAGCUUUCUCACCCAAUGUGGGAUACUUUGGGGCAAUGGGUGCUAUGACUGUGAAGAUUUAGGCAGGACAGUAAUAGUUUGGAUGAUUAAAGUAAAACUUACCUAUUUGCCCUCCACUUUAUAUUCAGUAACUCUACUAAAGGGUUAUAAGGAGUACCUUGGCUAAAUUUUAGGGAUCUCCAGAUACAACUAUAAUUUGAGCCUCAGGAUUAAGGCUGUGAAGCUUUACCAACUGGCACAUUUAAGGCAAAUAGUAAAGAAUCUAAAAACAAAACAAAAAAAGAAUCUGUGUUAAUAGAGGCACAAAGCCAAUGUGUGUCUUUUUGUUAUUGUUGUGCCCACGAUGUCAUAUCUGAGAAACCACCCAGGAGCCGACACCAAUGCAAGCGCAUGAGGGUUUAUUUGCAAACUCGAGCUUGGGUCCAAGUAUACCCAACAACAGUGGAUCAGGGACUUGGACCCCGAGGGUAAGAGGCGUAGCAGUUUUAUAGGGGCCGAUGGCCAAUGGGAUUGUAACCCACAGACUUGCACAGUCAUGUCGGUCCACACGCAGGUGGCCAAUUGAAUUACAGUUUACCCUACAGUGACCAUUUGAACUAGCCUAUCACUCUGGUCAGAAUUGGCGCUCGGGUUUGGCGAGCAAAAGGCAGGCUUUACAUUUUUUGCGGGUUAGGGGUUCCGCAUUCCUGUAUGAGCCGGUUUCUGGUAAGGGUGUGCUCAGUGGCUUGACUAGGGUGGGGGAGUGCCUUAAGCAAUAAGCAGGUCUUGUGGGGGUCAUACAUGAGAUGGCGGGUGUAGCACAAAAUGGAGUUAGUGCUGCGCUGCUUGUCCAGUGGUAGGGGAUUUUUGUUAAAUUCCUUGGGUCCCACAGUUACUAUAUGAAAUUUUUAGUAGAUUUUGAAUUUCCAAUUGGAUCAAAUGGUGGAUCCUUAUUUUAGCUUUGCUUCAGUUCCUCACUGUCAGGUUUCUUUCUUCCUCUAGACACUGGGUAUACACUUCAGUGAGUUCUACUUUUCUUCUCAUCUGUAUAAAUUUCUUCCUCCAAAAAUUUUCCAAUUAGCACCCUCAGGGUUAGGAGCCUCCCUUCUGGUAUGAUGGCUUUAUAGUGCUUAAGGACCCUGGGCUUAAGUUUAGUUUGAGUCAACCCCUUCACUGUGCUACAGGCAUGCCAUAAGUGUUUUUUUCCCUAUAGCCCUGACAAUAGGGAUCUUUGUUACAACAGAGGAAAAGGUAGCAGAAGGGUGCUGGACUCCUAACCCAAUGGUCAAUGGAUCAAGACCAUCCUGUGCUACAAUCCUGCUUUUUCUGCCAAUGCCACUUUUUCUUCUCCUUUCUCUUUGUACAAAGAUUAUGUUGGGUUUCUAGCCACAUAAAGUCAUAGCUUUCAGUUUCUAUCUCUGUCCAUUCAUUCCUACUGCAACCCUUCUGGGUAGUUAUGGGAAAAGUUCAGGAACCCAGUGGCCAGGCUCAUAGGUGGGUGUCUCUUCCUCAAGAGAAGGCUAGCCAAUCUCCCCCAGAUUGGAGUUCACAUCCAGUAAGGUCAUUUUGUCUAUGGCAUAUUUAUUACCUAAGCACUUUAACGCUAUUAGUUUCUUUCUAAGCACUGCAGUAGCUGUGCCCCACAGCAGGGCUCUUGAACAACACGUUUGAACUGCAAAGGUCCACUUACGCAAGGGUGGAUUUUCUCUUUUUGGACAGAUACAGUACAAUAGUAUAAAUGUGAUUUUUCUUAAUGAUUUUAUUUUCUGUAGCUCUGUUUUAACAAUACAGUAUAUAAUACUUGUAACAUACCAAAUGUGUGUUAAUUGACUGUUAGGUUAUUAGUAGUUACAUUUUGGGAAAUCCAAAUGUAUAUGUAGAUUUUUGCCUGUGUGAAGGUUUGUUGAUGAGACGGUUAAAUUUUUCAGCCUCAUCCUUAACCUUCUAGGAGGGGAGAGGCAUCAGAGAUUGAGCUCAAUCACCAUGGCCACUGAUUGAGCCAAUCAUGCCUGUGUAAUGAAACCUCCAUAAAACCCCUCAAAACAAGUUCUAGAGAGUUUCUGGUUGGUGGGCACAUGGAUGUGUCGGUAGGGUGGCACCUGGAGAAGGCACAGAAGUUCUGUGGCACCCACCCUCUACAGUGUCCUAUACAUCACUUCCCUUUGGCUGUGUCUGAGGUAGAUCCUUUAUAACCAGUCAUUGUAAGUAAAGUGCAUUCCUGAGGUGAGUCAUAAUCAUACCUGAGGGGUCAGGGAAGCCCCCACAUCUGCAGUUGGCAGAAGCGUAGGUAGCCUGAGCACCCCACCCCCAUUCCUAUCUGGCAUCUGAAGUGGACAUAGUCUUGUGGGACUGAGCCAUUUAACCUGUGUGGAAUGUGAUGGUAACUCCAGCUAGACGGUGUCAUUGAAUUGAAUUUUUAGAUACCCAGUUAGUGUCAGAAUUGGUUGGUGUGGAAAAGAAUACAUAUUUGGUAUCAGAGGAAAAAAAACACAUUCUUCUCAUCUUACUAUUUUUAAUCUGUUUAUUCAUUCCAUUUUUAUAUUCCUGUUUUCCCUUUCCUGCUGUCUUUUCCUUUCCUGGGUUCCCUGUUACAGGUGCCACUUGCCCAGGAGGGGGAAGGGGCAGGAGGAGUGAGCUUGCUGAGGUCUCAGGCAACAGAGAUGCUGACUUCCGGUUCUCCUGUCUCCCCCAGGACCUUGGAACCCUUCGCCCCAUGGUGCCGCACAUCAUAGGCUAUUUUGUUGAGUUCUUCAGACUUUCUGACUCUGUGAGCCUUUUUGAUCUGAACAAUAGGCUUUUCUUCUCCCUGACAGGUGCUAUUCAGUUUCUAGAAAGUACUUCUACCCCUGCCUAAACAAAUUUAACAAACAUUUUUUAAGGACCUGAGCAAUAGGUGGCCAUCUCCCCGUGAUAUGCAGGGAGUGUUAAGUCUGCAGAGACCUGCUUCCAGCACCACUGAAGACAGACGACCCUGCUGUGCGUCCUGUUGGUCUUUGUUGGUGCCACCAAUUCUACCUACUGCUCACUUAUACAUAGAUCUCUAUCUUAAAGGGUGAAUAGAAAAAGAAACUGAGGGACACCUGGGUGGCUCAGUCAGUUAAGUGCCCUCCUCUUGAUUUUGGCUCAGGUCAUGACCUCAGGGUUGUGAGAUCAGAUCCUAUGUUAGGCACCGAGCUGGGUGUGGUGCCUGCUUGGGAUUCUCUGCCUCUCCCUCUCCCUCUGCCCUUUGCCCUCUGGUCAUGCUGUCUCUCUCAAAAAAAAUAAAAAAUAAAAUAAAGAUUUUUUUUAAAAAGAUCAAAACAAACUGAGGGCAGACCCCUCCUAUUUGGAUUGGUGGAGUUAUUUUAAGUUUCAUUCCAAUCUCCUGAUAAUGACCAACCCCUGCGUUUUAUGGAAUAUAGGCUGUUUAUGGGAGUUGUGAAGUAGGCCACUGUGUAGACAGGCCUCAGCUCCUGUGACAUCAUGGAAUAGCUUGGAACUUUGUUUUUUUUUUUUUAAUUUACUUUUUUUAAAAUUUUUAUUUAUUUAUGAUAGUCACAGAUUGAGAGAGAGAGAGGCAGAGACUCAGGCAGAGGGAGAAGCAGGCUCCAUGCACUGGGAGCCCGAUGUGGGAUUCGAUCCCGGGUCUCCAGGAUCGCGCCCUGGGCCAAAGGCAGGCGCCAAACCCCUGCGCCACCCAGGGAUCCCUAUCAUGGAACUUUGAACCAGGUUUUGGAUGCUGUCAUUUACCACCUUUGUGCCAGGAUCAUUUUGAGGUCAGCACAUUCCCCUAAAAGGACUGCAUAGAUCCAGAGCAGCAGGGAACUGCACAGAACAGGAUGCAGAAGAAACCAGAAGUAGAACCAUGAAAAGACGGGACAAUCCGGUGAAAACGAUGGACAUGUAUUUAGCCACCCAGGAUCAGGGUGAUGUCCAGAGUAAAAGAGUCUGUGGCUAGGAGUACACAGUGGACUUGGUGGAUAAGAGGUUUACGUGUGCAUUGCAGGUCAUUGUUACCUGAACUAAGAUAGUCUGUGACCUGGCUUGUGAAUUCAGUCAUUUGAGAAGUAGUUCAAGUGAUCUUAUAAAACCAACUUGAAGAAUCAGUUCCCCUCACUUUUAUGAGGAGAAGACAAUAACAAGUGGCUCUCUGAAAACAGCUGGAGUUUGGAUACACAGUGCCAUCGUGCCCCGACAAAGCUGAACAGAGUGUCUCCUGCUUUGGCAUCCCAGUCCUGCAUGAGAUCCCCAGGACAUCACAACUUUCUAUGGUGGGAUCAGGGUCUUCAAGGUCCACACCAUCCCUAUUCCUCUUGCACCUGAACUCUUCUGGCUCCCAAGCUUCUCAGAAGUCUUCCCUUCAAAGUCACCAGGGGAAUGGUCCCCUGACUCCACACAAAGCACUACUGGAAUGCCACGCACUGCAGCCUCUCAGGUGGGGAGCCUGCUUCUCCCUCUCCCUCCCGUCUCCUCUACCCCCAACUCCUGUGUGCAGGUACUCUCCCUCUCAAAUAAAUAAGAUCUUAAAAUAAAAGACUGGAGGACUGUAUUUCAGGGUGGUCUUGGGAGUUAGCCUUUUGAGUUCUCAAACAUAUUUAAUGGGAAGAUGGGAGGGGAACAGUCGAUGAGCAUUAAGCACAAACUCACUAUCCAUUGCUGUUCCCCAAAAUUAGUACCAUAACAACUUGUAAGUUAUUUUAACAACCAAGAAGGAUCACAGUUCUCAAUCUACAUAUCUCAGUCCUUCUUUGUUGCAGGGAGGAGAUCAUUGGGCCACAACAGGUUAGAGUUAGAUAUAAGCAGAUGCCCACAUCUUUAGGUCCAGAACACCAACUAGGGACCCAAAGCCUUAGGGGUCCUUGCACCUGAAGAAAGGAAUAAGAGAAACUGGGAGGCUCCGUGGUUUCUGCUUAUACCAGAAGCUGUGGCUCUGGGUGCAAGUGAGUGUGGCAAGUCGAUCCCAGGGCUUUGGAGACAGAGGGCAGCUGAGAGAGCAGACACACAGAUCACUGGGCUGGACCAGGUUGCACCUGCUCUGGGGUCUGAGUUCGAGGGGGCCGCCCCAUCUCUGAGGACUGUCCCUAAACUCAGUUCAGUGACAAGGGAACUGUUUCCUGUUGAGGGAAAGAAGCUUAAGUUGACUUGCAUCUAACUUGGGUUUACAACCUCCAGGUGACAUUAAUUCAUUCAAGCAUAUAUUGAGUUCCUGCUAUGUGUCAAGCUCUGUUCUAGAAGUUAGGAAUAUGGCAGUGAACAAACAUCAGAGAACCUGCCAUUCUAGUGGAGGAAGGCAGACAAUCUAGGAGGAAGUAAGAUAAUUUUAGGUAGUGAUAACUGCUACCAUAAAACAAAACACAUAAUAGGCUUCAGUGAGAUUUGGGGAGGAAGAACUCUGGUUAGGGAAGUGAUUUCCAAUGGACCACCUGUAAGCAAGAAUUUGUUCUCAUUGCUAGGGCAAUAAGGGGAUAGAAUAGCCCCUUCUAGGAGAGGUAUAUCUCUAAUUAUAUAUACAUAAUUGAUAAGAUGAUUUAAAGAUUACUUAUUUGGUUAGUUUGGUUCAUUUUAAUAAUUUCCAAGAGCCUCAAUAAUUUUCCAUAGACUGACUAAAUUGAAUUUCUGCACUGCAAGUGUUGAAAGUCAGACUCCAGAAUGGAGUACCCAUCCCAACGUGCUGCCGAUGGACCCCUGACCAGAACAUUGUCCACCAACUAGGAUGGCCCUAUUACCUAUUACAACAUCCUCCUGACCCACAAUUUCACAAAUGCUUCUGGGUGAAUGUAUGCCUGCUUACAAUUUAUCACAAAAAGAGCCUCGUGUGCACUUCCAACCAUUCCCCCAAUCCCUGAAGCCGAAGGGAAACUUUAUUUAUUCAUGACACAGAGAGAGAGAGAGAGUGACAGGCGGAGGGAGAAGCAGGCUCCAUGCAGGGAGCCCGAUACGGGUUCAAUCCCGGGUCUCCAGGAUCAAGCCCUGGGCCAAAGGCAGGUGCUAAACUGCUGAGCCACCCAGAGAUCCCCAAUAUGCAAUGUCCACAAUAGCUAAACUGGCAGGAGCCUCGGUGUUCAUCGACAGACGAAUGGAUAAAGAAGAUGUGGUCUAUGUAUACAAUGGAAUAUUACUCAGCCAUUAGAAACGACAAAUACCCAUCAUUUGCUUCAACAUGGAUGGAACUGGAGGGUAUUAUGCUGAGUGAAGUCCGUGGAGAUGAGCAAUCCUGCACCACCCAAGCUCCUGGAACUUGCAGCCCACAGCCUCCUGAGCAGAGGCUUCACCCAUACCUGCCUUGGAAGAGUUCACAGUCAACUACUUCCCACCACUGCUCAUGGCUGCUUUUACACUUGAUCUUAGCCAAAAGGCCAAGAAGCGAUCUCAUGGCUGCUUUUGCCAAAAGGUGGUGUCUCUGAAGGCACUGGUGCAGGUCUGGCCCUUCCCCUUUCUCCACCUGGGCUCCCUGAUUGUACAGUGGCCCAACCAAGACAGCCUGCAAGUUGCGCUUGCCUGCCCUGCCCAGAGGACUUGUCCCAGCUCCUGUCAGCAGUCCUACCAGGUACUAAUGUGGUCUCCAUUUCACCAGAGAAACUGUGUCGGGGGCGUUGGAAGAGGACCUAGGAGUCACCUGCAGGAGCCACUGCACUCCCUGGAGAUCCGCUCCUGUACGUGGGCAUCACCUACUUGUCUCAGAACUUUCACACUGCCUCCCUGAAGAAGCUGUAUCUGAGUGGUGACAACCUGUCAUACGUGGUCCCUGGGCCCUUGGAGACUCUGCUGGAGGAGGUCUCGGGGACACCGCAGCACCUUUACCUGAAGCACUGCCUGCUGAACAACGCCGACCAGGCUGCAGAAGCUGUUGGAGACCAUGCAGUGGAGCUUCCCCUGUGGCUGCUGCAGCUCUAGAGGGGCAGUUCGGGGGUGGAGGGGUCUGGAAGCUCGCCUGGGGCCCCAGGCUUCCCGGGGGGUUCUGUGCUCUCCUUCCUCAGCUGCAAGCCUUGGCCUGGUUCUGACACCCAUUUGUUCCCGUCUCCUGGGCAUGUGACAGAGAUUCCAGGAGCCCAGCCCUUGGGGAGCUCUCCUUUUCCUCAGCAUGCCCCUCUGGACACUCUUUGGUUUUUUUCUUCUUGUCUUUGCUUCUGGGUAGAAGGAAAUUGGGGGAUCCCUGGGUGGCUCAGAGGUUUAGCGCCUGCCUUCGGUCCAGGGCAUGAUCCUGGAGACCUGGGAUCGAGUCCCACAUCGGGUUCCCUGCAUGGAGCUUGUUUCUCCCUCUGCCUGUGUCUCUGCCCCUCUCUCUCUGUCUGUGUCUCUCAUGAAUAAAUAAACAAAAUC